rnacentral:rRNA from 1 species
GAUGAACGCUAGCGGCAGGCUUAAUACAUGCAAGUUGAGGGGCAGCAUGAUAUACGCGAGUAUAUUGAUGGCGACCGGCGGACGGGUGAGUAAUAGGUAGGAGACCUACCUCAUACAGGGGGAUAGCAUAGAGAAAUCUGUGGUAAUACCCCAUGAGGUUAUAUGAAUAGAGGCAUAUAAUCAAAGCAUAAGCGAUUAUGCGGUAUGAGAGGGGCCUACUGACCAUUAGCUAGUUGGUGAGGUAAGGGCUCACCAAGGCGAAGAUGGUUAGGGGUUUUGAGAGAGAGACCCCCCACAUUGGAACCGAGAGACGGUCCAGACUCCUACGGGAGGCAGCAGUAGGGAAUAUUGGGCAAUGGGCGAAAGCCUGACCCAGCCAUGCCGCGUGAAGGAAGACGGCCUUAUGGGUUGUAAACUUCUUUACUACGCGAAUAGAGGUUAGUACGAGAUACUAAUAGGAAGGUAGUGUAGUAAAAAGCACGGCUAACUCCGUGCC